CAAAAUUCAAUCUGCGAAGUCUGUGAGAAGGAAUUUUCAAGCACAUCGACGAGAAGCAGACACUUUAAGAAGUUUCACCCAGAAUUUGUUGGCUAGGAAUACAAGAAACACAUUAUAUAUCCAAUGUGUACCAACGAUACCCAGACAUUUUCUUAUUUUAAUAGUUUAAAUAAACAUUUGUUUGAUAUUUACGAUAUAAUGAUUAAACAAUAAUUUUUAAAUUUUAGGAAUUUUGAAGAGAAUAUACGUCUUGGAGGGCGCAAGGUAAUAGGGAAGUCGAUUAUGCUUGUCAGACCCGAAAUAAAUUUAAGAAUGGAAAAGAUACAUACAUAUAUUUUACAAUUGUAACAGGAGCAACAUCAGAGGAUUCAAUAGCUCAUGUAAAAUGAGAAGUGUUAAAUCUGGGGGAAGCAUACGCAUUUAAGGAACUUGCCCCUCAAGGAUUUUAGUUAAAGUUUUAAAGAAUGGAUCAAUUGAUGUGACAUCUUUUGAACACAUGUAGGACAUGUAGACGAGUUAAGAACAAAAAGGUUAUCUCAGGCUGAAGAAAAUAUCAUUGUUGGGAAAUUGACUGCAGGUGUAACAAAUGAACGAAUAAUUCAAAAUGCUAGAAAAAUUCAGAAUGACACAAUAGAAAGGCUAAACUUGCUAACAAGACGUGACUUGGCAUAUUUGAUAAGGAAAUAUAAUGUUGAUAGGAAAAGAGAUGGUGAUGAUAUGGGGAUAUUCUUAACCCGGACUAAAUGAUAACGAUUUUGCUGUGGGCUACAUGAAUGGAAUUAUGGAGAAGAAAUUAAAAGAAUUUAAAUUUUAGGUUCCACAGCUAAAGGGGAAGAGGAUAAUGUGUUGUGUUGUUGAUGAACCUACAAUUAACCAAAAAAAUUUUCAGGAUGAUGUCAGCCAUUUUAUUCAGGAAAGUUCAAAAAUGAAAGUCAAUAGUUCAGUAUUGAAGUUUGAAGAAAAGCGAGAAGUAGUUUGCGUAAAAAAUAAUUUCCAUCUUUAUUACAUACUUUACGGUUAUUUUAAGAUUGAAUUGCAAGCAAUGUGUAGCUAUGGAAGAACUUUAGAUAAAAUUGCUUUUGCCACAUUAAUGACUCAAUUCAACAAUUUCAAAAAUAAAGCAAUGGA